rnacentral:rRNA from 1 species
CACGGGGGGAGCAAGCGUUGUUCGGAAUCACUGGGCGUAAAGGGCGUGUAGGCGGUUCGGUAAGUGGAAUGUGAAAUGCUCCGGCUCACCCGGAGUACUGCAUCCCAAACUGCCGAGCUUGAGUAUGGGAGAGGAUGAGGGAAUUCCUGGUGUAGCGGUGAAAUGCGUAGAUAUCAGGAGGAACACCGGUGGCGAAGGCGCUCAUCUGGCCCAAUACUGACGCUGAGGCGCGAAAGCUAGGGGAGCAAACGGG